CAGGCACCGCCCUCUCCAGGCGCCAGCCAGGACUCCUCCAGAUCAAGCUCGGUGUGUCCUCGGAGGAGAACCACUGCCUAUGAGUGCUUUUAUCUUCGUCACCAGAGGACUAUUCCACAUCAAAACACGAAGAACUUUAUCUUGGCCUUGACUCUGUCAGACACAGAUAAAUCCUGGCAUAAUGUCCAGUAACCAUCGUCAUACAUGUAACUAAAGACCAUGACACCCUGGAGCCUUGUAACAGGAGGAAAACAUCUAGUGCACCGUGGAUCACUUACACGGGGGUCUGUUUCUCCACACUGCCCUCUGGUAUGGAUGUAGGCAUUCAAGACACAAUAAAGCUUGAGGUCAGCCUACAGAUGCA